CGCAGGCCGGCUGUACCCGGUUUAGAGGCAAACCGGAUGUGACGUGAGCCAGUGCCGUACUCCCUGCCCCCAGAUAGGUACUUGUACGCCUAGGGAAAGACGCUGCUAGGUGCUGCUGCUAAAUCCCUGUGGUUUCUGCCGGCUCACGUAGGUUCGUUCGCGUGGUCUUGUUACGCCUCGCUGGAUCGUGUUCAGUCAUGCCGUCCUUGCGCGGCGUCAUUGUCGGCGAGUCAGGUUAAAUUCUUUAAUAGGUCGCGCCUGCGCCUAAUUGAGUCUAUUAAAGACUGCACAUUCAGUUUUGCUGGCUACAAUUCAGUGUGGCUGACGUGGGCUGUCUCCACGAUGCGCUUCGAGCGUGUCGAUUUCGCCGUUCUUUAUGUUGGCGGAAAUGACCGUGAAAGCAACAUGGAUCUACAAGAAAUAUGCAACAACAUCAAGGCCUUGAUUGUUCAGCGAGACGGCGCCCGUCGUGCUGGUUUUCAAGGUGCUCUCUCGCUGGCUAGAAGAUGCUGAUGCGGAACAGAAAAUGCAAAAACGUCGCUUGCUCAACCGCAAAUUGACGGCUACGCUGAAGCGCAUGCCGUGUCUGCGGAAUUUGAACCCCGAGGCACGUUCACACUGAAGACGGAGCGGCUAAACCGGGCAAAGCUCUUGGCCAGGCGGAUAAAAGCAGGCGUUAAACGAGGCAGCAAGCCCGAUCGCUCGCGGACCACUUUUUUUCCUGCCCGCCAGAGCUGUCCGCUUUGCUGCAGCCAAUUGGAACACCAGACGACGCUGGCGUGUGCGCGAUAAGGAUGGACGACCGGUGCCACGAGACGGCGACAAGUGCACCACAAAAACCUUUCCAGAGUUCCUUGGAAAAUCCUCCCAUGCACCUGCCAUGUACAUUGCCCCCCCCCCCCCCCCCCCCCCCCCUCCUCGAUGUGGCAUGCAAGAUGGCAGCAGCAGCUGUGGAACAGUUGAAGAGGCGAAGAAAGGUCCACAUUAUAAUAGGUUGUAUGUAAAUAAAACUGAUCGAACACAA